rnacentral:rRNA from 1 species
AGCGAACGUUUGCGGCGGGCCUAACACAUGCAAGUCGAACGCACUAGCAAUAGUGAGUGGCGCACGGGUGCGUAACACGUGGGUAAUCAACCCUUCAGCUUGGGAUAACGACUUGAAAGGGUCGCUAAUACCGGAUACGGCGCGGGAGGCUUCGGCUUCUCACGAGAAAGCCUCGCAAGGGGCACUGAAGGACGAGCCUGCGGCCCAUCAGCUAGUUGGUGAGGUAAGAGCUCACCAAGGCGAAGACGGGUAGCUGGUCUGAGAGGAUGAUCAGCCACACUGGAACUGAGACACGGUCCAGACUCCUACGGGAGGCAGCAGUGGGGAAUAUUGCGCAAUGGGCGAAAGCCUGACGCAGCCACGCCGCGUGAGCGAUGAAGGCCUCGGUCGUAAGCUCUGUGGGGAGAGACGAAG